CCUACGGGAGGCAGCAGUGAGGAAUAUUGGUCAAUGGACGAGAGUCUGAACCAGCCAAGUAGCGUGAAGGAUGACUGCCCUAUGGGUUGUAAACUUCUUUUAUAUGGGAAUAAAAUGUUCCACGUGUGGGAUUUUGUAUGUACCAUAUGAGUAAGGAUCGGCUAACUCCGUGCCAGCAGCCGCGGUAAUACGGAGGAUCCGAGCGUUAUCCGGAUUUAUUGGGGUUAAAGGGAGCGUAGGUGGACUGUUAAGUCAGUUGUGAAAGUUUGCGGCUCAACCGUAAAAUUGCAGUUGAAACUGGCAGUCUUGAGUACAGUAGAGGUGGGCGGAAUUCGUGGUGUAGCGGUGAAAUGCUUAGAUAUCACGAAGAACUCCGAUUGCGAAGGCAGUUCACUGGACUGCAACUGACACUGAGGCUCGAAAGUGUGGGUAUCAAACAGGAUUAGAUACCCGAGUAGUC
rnacentral:rRNA from 1 species